rnacentral:rRNA from 1 species
CAUGUAGGCGGCUUUGUAAGCCCGGCGUGGAAGCCCACGGCUCAACCGUGGGAUUGCGUUGGGAACUGCGAGGCUUGAAUCAUGGAGAGGGAGCUAGAAUUCCUGGUGUAGGGGUGAAAUCUGUAGAGAUCAGGAAGAAUACCAGUGGCGAAGGCGAGCUCCUGGCCAAUGAUUGACGCUGAGGUGCGAAAGUGUGGGGAUCAAACAGGAUUAGAUACCCUGGUAGUCCACACUGUAAACGAUGUGCACUAGGUGCUGGGGCGGAUGCUUCAGUGCCGGAGCUAACGCGGUAAGUGCACCGCCUGGGGAGUAUGCUCGCAAGGGUGAA